AAUUUGAAGUUAUACUUCCUUGAAUCAUAUUCGGACUUCAAACGACUGUAGUUCAACUAGUUAUAUUGCCACUUUAAAUGUAUAUACACUAAAUCACAUGAAAAAUACUUGUUAGAUAUGUACAUUGUUGUAUUUUGCAGCCACGCACAACAGACCUGACAAGGUCAUGGAUUUGAAAGGGAAACUCAUCGCACAACUGGAGCAAUGGAACAAAGAACAGAAAGACUUGAAGGAAAAAUUGAUUAUAAUUGAGAACAAAGAUUCAUCCAGUGAAGCCUUUGAUGUUGAAAAUAUCAAAUUAGUUGGCGGUGUUGAUAUUUCGUUUGCACAGAACCCUGAUGACAAAGUGCAUGCAUGUGCCGCACUAGUUGUCAUUAGUCUUCCUGAUCUUAAGGUAGAAUACCAAAGCUGCACCUUUGUUCAUUUGACCUCACCAUAUAUACCAGAAUACCUUGCCUUCCGUGAAGCAUCUUAUUUGGUUUGUGAGUUGGGAAAACUGAAACAGAAUAAGCCAGAACUUUUUCCUCAGGUUCUCUUGGUGGAUGGGAAUGGACUAUUGCACCCCAGAGGUUUUGGAGUGGCCUGUCACAUUGGUGUCCUAGCAGAUCUUCCAACUGUUGGGGUUGCAAAGCAGCUGUUUCAUGUGGGUGGCCUUGAAAAAAAUGAGGAGCACACAGAAAAGAUAUCUACAAUGCUGGUGAAUGCUGGAGAUUCAUUUCAAUUGAUGAGUGAGUCCAACACUGUGCUUGGAGAAGCAUUCAAAAGCACCCAAGAUACACGAAAGCCCAUAUACAUAUCUGUCGGACAUAAAAUUAGUCUACAUAAUGCCGUUAAGAUUGUCGGAAAAUGCUGCAAGUAUCGAAUACCCGAACCGGUUCGCCAGGCAGACAUCAUUUCUAGAGAAUACAUGAGGAAUAAUUAUGAAAUACUCGUCCAAGAUUGUCAAGUUGAUUGGAAAGGUAUUUCUAAACAACACGAAGAAAUCGAGGAACUAGCGAAAAGAUUAAAAAUGCAAUCCAUCGUAAAUGCAGUGGAAGUUUCAGAACUUUGAAUGUCAUGAUCAAUGUUUGAAUUGGUUAUCAUCUCCAAACGUGUAUCGUGAAAGUGAGAGGUGGUCGGUCGGCAAAGGGAUAGCUGUCCGCUUCAAGCAUUUAAGUACUCAAAUGCUCUUCUCGUGAGUCACCUUGGCAAUGAAACGUGAGGUUGAGCAACUCGACCCCAAUGUACUCACUCCCAAUGUACUUCGAAGGAUAACUGUAAAGAACUCUUUCUUUAACAUUUCGUGUGUAAAUAGAUUUUGUUUUUAAACUUAAAAAUUUAUUGUUUUUAUACCUUUUAUAAAAACAUGGAUCUUUAUAAAAUUAUAGAUGAAAAGAUUGUGGCAUUUAUCAUCGAAUUCAUAACAAUUGUCUCUUUACAUUUAUGACCAACUUCAUCAAAUUGUUUUGAUGUAGAUUUCACAUUAUGGCAAUGAAGGCCUGGCAUAAAUUCGGCAUUUAAUUUGAUGCUACGGCACAAGUUGUUUCUGUUAAUAGAGACAGCGGGUUGGCAGGGGUUUUGUGCAACGUUCAUAAACUCUUAAAUGAACACGACAUCCUGAACCGCAAAACGUUUUACUACUAAGAUUUACCAUAGCUACAACUACAGCCCUGACUACAGCUACUGCAGGUCUUCUGGGCUUCACGCAUCUUGCAUGUUUGCACCAAUAUUCUUCCAUAUCCCGCAUCACGCAAGCAAUGACUUCCUUACUGUUUUUCGCGCAUUUUCCCCGAAAGGAAACAAAAUUUCUAGUUUUCAACCUAGUUAUGGAAACAAGCCUUUCUACCUUUUCCUGAUUUCUCCCUGAACGCUUACAUUGGAAACCCAUUUUGGAAUUUGGAAUACACUUCUGAUAUACUUCAGGGCUCACGCCAUGAAUUUCAAGGUGGAGGGGUCAGUUUCUUUAGCUCGAAAUUAAAUUUAGUGCUUCAAAACAGGGCCUCUUUUGAAAUAUUUUUGCUCGCCAAAAAAGUGGGGGGGGGGGCAUGCGUGGGCUCUUUACUUUAAAAGACCAAACUAUUC